GAAGUACUGCAAACAGCAAGAAAUACUUCAGACAGCAAGGUACUGAAGUACUUCAGACAGCAAGGUACUGAAGUACUGCAAGAAAUACUUCAGACAGCAAGGUACUGAAGUACUGAAGUACUUCAGACAGCAAGGUACUGAAGUACUGAAGUACUUCAGACAGCAAGGUACUGAAGUACUGAAGUACUUCAGACAGCAAGGUACUGAAGUACUGAAGUACUGCAAGAAAUACUUCAGACAGCAAGGUACUGAAGUACUGAAGUACUGCAAACAGCAAGGUACUGAAGUACUGCAAGAAAUACUUCAGACAGCAAGGUACUGAAGUACUGAAAUACUUCAAACAGCAA